GGGAGCUUGCUCCCUGAAGUCAGCGGCGGACGGGUGAGUAACACGUGGGUAACCUGCCUGUAAGACUGGGAUAACUCCGGGAAACCGGGGCUAAUACCGGAUAGUUCUUUUCCUCGCAUGAGGAAAAGUGGAAAGGUGGCUUCGGCUACCACUUACAGAUGGACCCGCGGCGCAUUAGCUAGUUGGUGAGGUAACGGCUCACCAAGGCGACGAUGCGUAGCCGACCUGAGAGGGUGAUCGGCCACACUGGGACUGAGACACGGCCCAGACUCCUACGGGA
rnacentral:rRNA from 1 species